rnacentral:misc_RNA from 1 species
CAGACAGACAGGGAAAUG